rnacentral:tRNA from 1 species
GACUUUACUUAGGAAAUAGUAUAAUUGGAAAUACUAAGGGUUUUGAUCUCUUGAAUAUAGGUUCAAGUCCUA